UUCUUCAACAACUACUUCUUCGACAUGAAUAGGCCGGUAUCCUUUUUACACUGCCUAGCUCCUGUGACUUCUUCCAACUAUGUGGAAGCCCCCCUUCUGUGGCAAUAGGAGUAGCAUUCUCUCCAACUCUUCCCGACUUUACAGUUACGUUGUUGAGGGAGAUGGGAUCGCGGAGGAGUCAUGCUUGGUUGAUCACGUGAUUUGGAGCUCGAGGGCUAAGGGAAAUAGCAGUAUCACCAAUCCUUCUUUGGCCGGCAUCUAUGGCGAUUUGAGCAAUGGGGUGGAGCUCUCGUGGUUUAUUGUUCACUGCGGAGACUGCCCAAGAUUUGGAGAGUGCCUCUUGGAGGACAGCCGGAUCACUUGCAAACUCCAGUGCAAGGAUGAUGUAACAACUCUCUCGUAGCAAGGUUUUCGAUGUCAAUUGGAGUAUUGGGGAUAUAUCUACGGAGCAUAUAUAGUGGUUGCAUAUGGUGAACUUAUAGGCCUGAGAUUCGUGAUUGGAUUCGUGCUCCUGAUGGUUUUAGUGGCGUCCCAAUGGAGAAAACGGCACGACUUACCCCUCUAGUUUGUUAUUGCUUCAUUAUGUUUUUUUUUUCUCUUAUGUUUAGU